rnacentral:rRNA from 1 species
UGGGGAAUAUUGGACAAUGGGCGGAAGCCUGAUCCAGCAACGCCGCGUGAGGGAUGACGGCCUUCGGGUUGUAAACCUCUUUCAGUACCGACGAAGCGAAAGUGACGGUAGGUACAGAAGAAGGACCGGCCAACUACGUGCCAGCAGCCGCGGUAAUACGUAGGGUCCGAGCGUUGUCCGGAAUUAUUGGGCGUAAAGGGCUCGUAGGCGGUUUGUCGCGUCGGGAGUGAAAACAGCGGGCUUAACUCGUUGCUUGCUUUCGAUACGGGCAGACUAGAGGUAUGCAGGGGAGAAUGGAAUUCCUGGUGUAGUGGUGAAAUGCGCAGAUAUCAGGAGGAACACCGGUGGCGAAGGCGGUUCUCUGGGCAUUACCUGACGCUGAGGAGCGAAAGUGUGGGGAGCGAACAGGAUUAGAUACCCUGGUAGUCCACACCGUAAACGUUGGGCGCUAGGUGUGGGGUCCUUUCCACGGAUUCCGUGCCGUAGCUAACGCAUUAAGCGCCCCGCCUGGGGAGUACGGCCGCAAGGCUAAAACUUAAAUGAAUUGACGGGGUC